rnacentral:rRNA from 1 species
AUGGUCCUGAUACAGAAAAUUAGUCAAAGAACGAGUAAAGCUAUCUAUCCAGUAUCCACUCGCUCGUGCUCGCGCACGCAGCACGCUACAGCGCUGCGGCUAGCAGCUGCGGCUGUGGAUUACGCAUCCCGGUCAAAAAUGGCCACUCCCUCCGCGCCACGUCUCCUCCCCUGCCCCGCCAUGCUCCACUCCCCCAUGCCUAUCGUCUUCCUCGCCGCCGGUCCGCUCGCCGCCGUCCACUUCUCUGCCCGCUGCCGCCUCCGCCUCCGCCUCCGUAUCCCCCACGUCGCUACCGCCGCCGGCGCUGCCACCGCUCCGGGAAACAGCUUCGCCGUCGAGGACUACCUCGUCGCCAACUGCCACCUCACCCAGCCGCAGGCCGUCAAGGCCUCCAAGAACCUCGCCCACCUCAAGUCCGCCUCCAACCCCGACGCCGUCCUCGCAUUCCUCGACGGCCUCGGCUUCUCCCCCAAGGAGGUCGCCGCCGCCGUCGCCUCCAACCCGCGCAUCCUCUGCGCCCGCAUCGAGCGCUCCCUCGCGCCCAUCUCCGCGGAGCUCCGCGCCCUCGGCCUCUCCACCUCCCAGGUCGCCCGGCUCGCCAAGAUCGCCGGCCGCUACUUCCUCUGCCGCAGCUUCGUCUCCAAGGUGCAGUUCUGGCUCCCCCUGUUCGGCUCCCCGGAGAGGCUGCUCCAGGCCAGCGACUGGAACUACUGGCUCCUCACCUCCGACCUCGAGAAGGUGGUCGAGCCCAACGUCUCCUUCCUCAGGCAAUGCGGGCUAAGUGCUUGUGAUAUUUCCAAGCUGCUCGUGGCCGCGCCGCGCCUGGUCACCAUGCACCCCGAGUACGUCCAGGACUCCGUGCGGCGGGCCAUUGAGCUCGGCGUGCCACCGGGCUCCCAGAUGUUCCGGCACGCGAUCUCCACCGCCGGGUGCAUCGGCCAGGAGAAGGUGGACGCCAAGAUCGCCGUCCUCAGGGAGACUCUCGGGUGGUCCAAGGAGGAGGUGAGCCUGGCCAUCAGCAAGGCGCCGCGGAUCCUGGUCGCCUCCGAGGAGAGGCUGCGCCGCAACGCCGAGUUCCUGGUCAAGGAGGUCGGGCUGGAGCCGCAGUACAUCGCGCGCCGGUCGGUGCUGCUCAUGUACAGCCUCGAGAGGAGGCUCAUGCCCCGGCAUCUCGUAGUGAAGCUCCUCAAGCAGAGGCGGCUGAUCGAGGAAGACCGGUGCUUCUUCAACGUGGUGGCGCCGACGGAAGAGAAGUUCUUGGAGAAGUUCGUUGCCCCCUUCGAGGAGUGUAUCCCCGGCCUCGGCGAUGCUUACGACGCUGCCUGUACCGGGAAGGCGCCGGUGAAAGCUCAGUGA